GGGUAACCUGCCUAGAAGUGGGGGAUAACCUGGGGAAACUCGGGCUAAUACCGCAUACGACCGCGGCACUGCGGUGCUGUGAGGAAAGCUGGUCAAUGCUUGCAAACUGGCGCUUUUAGAGGGGCCCGCGCCCGAUUAGGUAGUUGGUGAGGUAAUGGCUCACCAAGCCAACGAUCGGUAGCCGGCCUGAGAGGGCGAUCGGCCACACUGGGACUGAGACACGGCCCAGACUCCUACGGGAGGCAGCAGUGGGGAAUAUUGGACAAUGGGGGCAACCCUGAUCCAGCAACGCCGUGUGGAGGACGAAGGUUUUCGGAUCGUAAACUCCUGUCAGUUGGGACGAAAAGCUGUCGGUAAAUAGCCGGUAGUCAUGACGGUACCAGCAGAGGAAGCCCCGGCUAACUCCGUGCCAGCAGCCGCGGUAAUACGGAGGGGGCAAGCGUUAUUCGGAAUUAUUGGGCGUAAAGGGCGCGUAGGCGGCUUGGUAGGUCAAAGGUGAAAUCCCUCAGCUCAACUGAGGAACUGCCUUUGAAACCACCUGGCUAGAGACUGGGAGGGGGUAGCGGAAUUCCAGGUGUAGCGGUGAAAUGCGUAGAUAUCUGGAGGAACACCGGUGGCGAAGGCGGCUACCUGGACCAGUUCUGACGCUGAGGCGCGAAAGUGUGGGGAGCAAACAGGAUUAGAUACCCUGGUAGUCCACACUGUAAACGAUGGGCACUCGGUGCCGCGGGUGUUGACCCCUGCCGGUGCCUUAGCUAACCCGUUAAGUGCCUCC
rnacentral:rRNA from 1 species